UUGAACGCUGGCGGCAGGCCUAACACAUGCAAGUCGAACGGUAACAGGAAGAAGCUUGCUUCUUUGCUGACGAGUGGCGGACGGGUGAGUAAUGUCUGGGAAACUGCCUGAUGGAGGGGGAUAACUACUGGAAACGGUAGCUAAUACCGCAUAACGUCGCAAGACCAAAGAGGGGGACCUUCGGGCCUCUUGCCAUCGGAUGUGCCCAGAUGGGAUUAGCUAGUAGGUGGGGUAACGGCUCACCUAGGCGACGAUCCCUAGCUGGUCUGAGAGGAUGACCAGCCACACUGGAACUGAGACACGGUCCAGACUCCUACGGGAGGCAGCAGUGGGGAAUAUUGCACAAUGGGCGCAAGCCUGAUGCAGCCAUGCCGCGUGUAUGAAGAAGGCCUUCGGGUUGUGAAGUACUUUCAGCGGGGAGGAAGGGAGUAAAGUUAAUACCUUUGCUCAUUGACGUUACCCGCAGAAGAAGCACCGGCUAACUCCGUG
rnacentral:rRNA from 1 species